GUGGCAGUAGCUCAGUGGUAGAGCUCCCGUUUCGUACGCAGGAAGAUCUGCGCUCGAUUCCCGGCUGCUUUC
rfam:Toxocara canis scaffold175, whole genome shotgun sequence.